UUUUGUGUGUGACCAUUGCUGAAACCAGUUGAGAAAACUUUUAUAUUACCUACCAGUACAUGUAAUUGUAUAUACAGUAUCAGAACAUCUGUUCCUUUCACUCUUAUUAGGGAGCCUAUUCUUGAGUUGGUCUUGACGUCCUGGACCAGCAGCUUUUCGUUUGGUAUCAGAAACUCUGGAUGCUGUUUGCGGC